rnacentral:rRNA from 1 species
AUUGAACGCUGGCGGCAGGCCUAACACAUGCAAGUCGAACGAGUGGCGGACGGGUGAGUAAUGUUUGGGAAUCUGCCUUAUGGAGGGGGAUAACUACUGGAAACUGUAGCUAAUACCGCAUACCAUCAGAUGUGCCCAGGUGGGAUUAGCUAGUUGGUGGGGUAAAGGCUCACCAAGGCGACGAUCCGUAACUGGUCUGAGAGGAUGACCAGUCACACUGGGACUGAGACACGGUCCAGACUCCUACGGGAGGCAGCAGUGGGGAAUAUUGGACAAUGGGCGAAAGCCUGAUGCAGCCAUGCCGCGUGUAUGAAGAAGGUCUUCGGGUUGUAAAGUACUUUCAGUUGGGAGGCGUUACCAACAGAAGAAGCACCGGCUAACUCCGUGCCAGCAGCCGCGGUAAUUC